UUCCUACGGGAGGCAGCAGUGGGGGAUAUUGCACAAUGGAGGGAACUCUGAUGCAGCAAUGCCGUGUGAAGGAAGAAGGUUUUCGGAUUGUAAACUUCUAUCAGCAGGGAAGAAAAUGACGGUACCUGACUAAGAAGCCCCGGCUAACUAUGUGCCAGCAGCCGCGGUAAUGGAA
rnacentral:rRNA from 1 species